CCUGAGUCACCGGCAUCGAGCGGCGGACGCUCGUAAGGGUUCGCCGUAAGAGGGAACCUGGUGUGAAUCCAGGACUGUCCCGCAGCGGUAUGCAGGAACGACCGCCGUCAUAAGCACUGGUCCGCGGCAAUGUCAGGACUGGGAAGCGACGGCCACUAGGAGCACCGUUUGGUGCGUGCCUGCAAGUCCGAAGACCUGCCAGAUGUGCCGGGCGCGC
rnacentral:ncRNA from 2 species